rnacentral:tRNA from 1 species
GCCCAUAUAGCUCAGGGGUAGAGCACUUCCUUGGUAAGGAAGAGGUCACCGGUUCAAUUCCGGUUAUGGGCU